rnacentral:rRNA from 1 species
GCUUAGCCCUAAACCUAGAUAGUUAGCUAAACAAAACUAUCCGCCAGAGAACUACUAGCUACAGCUUAAAACUCAAAGGACUUGGCGGUGCUUUACAUCCCUCUAGAGGAGCCUGUUCUAUAAUCGAUAAACCCCGAUAUACCUCACCAUCUCUUGCUAAUUCAGCCUAUAUACCGCCAUCUUCAGCAAACCCUAAAAAGGAAGAAAAGUAAGCACAAGUAUCUUAACACAAAAAAGUAGGUCAAGGUGUAGCCUAUGAGAUGGGAAGUAAUGGGCUACAUUUUCUAAAACUAGAACACCCACGAAAAUCCUUAUGAAACUAAGUAUUAAAGGAGGAUUUAGUAGUAAAUUUGAGAAUAGAGAGCUCAAUUGAAUCGGGCCA